CAGCUCACAACCUGCUAAAUGUCAAGGUCUUCUUCGAAAACGAUGGACAAACAUCAUCACUGGAGCCCAGCAUAGAGACUAAUUAAAAAUUCACAAACUUUCUCAUCUCUUUCAUCCUGAUAAGUGUAUUAGACUCCCUCAUGACUAGAAGAAAUAGCAAGUAAGUUCAGGAUUCUCCCACUGACAUAUUGGAUAAUUAAUGGAGACUCAAAGGCACCAGUAAAGUUUACAAGGCUAUUUGUGAGGCCUCAGAAAUCAGCUACAAGAAAAACCUUCCAAGCUACUGAGGGAAAGAUGGAACUUAUGUCAAGAGUCCUACACAAAAUCUGAGUUGCCUCUGAAACAGCUCCAGUCCCUCCUCAUUCCUAGAAGAUGACUGGCACUGUCAAUAUUGGAAGAUUCAGUUGACUGAAAAGAAAGGGGAUAACAAACCAAACAGCCUAGUACUUCGAGUUCACCUAAGAUGCAUUCAAAAUGUAAUCUAUCCUCUUUCCAUUCCAGUAGCAACUGCUUCAGCUGACUGGAACAUGAACAUUAUCAG